AUGAACGCUAGCUACAGGCUUAACACAUGCAAGUCGAGGGGCAUCAGUUUGGUUUGCUUGCAAACCAAAGCUGGCGACCGGCGCACGGGUGAGUAACACGUAUCCAACCUGCCUCAUACUCGGGGAUAGCCUUUCGAAAGAAAGAUUAAUAUCCGAUAGCAUAGAUUUCCCGCAUGGGUUUUAUAUUAAAGAAAUUCGGUAUGAGAUGGGGAUGCGUUCCAUUAGUUUGUUGGGGGGGUAACGGCCCACCAAGACUACGAUGGAUAGGGGUUCUGAGAGGAAGGUCCCCCACAUUGGAACUGAGACACGGUCCAAACUCCUACGGGAGGCAGCAGUGAGGAAUAUUGGUCAAUGGACGCGAGUCUGAACCAGCCAAGUAGCGUGAAGGAUGACUGCCCUAUGGGUUGUAAACUUCUUUUAUAUGGGAAUAAAGUUGUCCACGUGUGGAUUUUUGUAUGUACCAUAUGAAUAAGGAUCGGCUAACUCCGUGCCAGCAGCCGCGGUAAUACGGAGGAUCCGAGCGUUAUCCGGAUUUAUUGGGUUUAAAGGGAGCGUAGGCGGAUUGUUAAGUCAGUUGUGAAAGUUUGCGGCUCAACCGUAAAAUUGCAGUUGAUACUGGCAGUCUUGAGUGCAGUAGAGGUGGGCGGAAUUCGUGGUGUAGCGGUGAAAUGCUUAGAUAUCACGAAGAACUCCGAUUGCGAAGGCAGCUCACUGGAGUGUAACUGACGCUGAUGCUCGAAAGUGUGGGUAUCAAACAGGAUUAGAUACCCUGGUAGUCCACACAGUAAACGAUGAAUACUCGCUGUUUGCGAUAUACAGUAAGCGGCCAAGCGAAAGCAUUAAGUAUUCCACCUGGGGAGUACGCCGGCAACGGUGAAACUCAAAGGAAUUGACGGGGGCCCGCACAAGCGGAGGAACAUGUGGUUUAAUUCGAUGAUACGCGAGGAACCUUACCCGGGCUUAAAUUGCAAAUGAAUUAUGGGGAAACCCAUACGCCGCAAGGCAUUUGUGAAGGUGCUGCAUGGUUGUCGUCAGCUCGUGCCGUGAGGUGUCGGCUUAAGUGCCAUAACGAGCGCAACCCUUAUCUUCAGUUACUAACAGGUCAUGCUGAGGACUCUGGAGAGACUGCCGUCGUAAGAUGUGAGGAAGGUGGGGAUGACGUCAAAUCAGCACGGCCCUUACGUCCGGGGCUACACACGUGUUACAAUGGGGGGUACAGAAGGCCGCUACCUGGUGACAGGAUGCCAAUCCCAAAAACCUCUCUCAGUUCGGAUCGAAGUCUGCAACCCGACUUCGUGAAGCUGGAUUCGCUAGUAAUCGCGCAUCAGCCAUGGCGCGGUGAAUACGUUCCCGGGCCUUGUACACACCGCCCGUCAAGCCAUGAAAGCCGGGGGUACCUGAAGUACGUAACCGCAAGGAGCGUCCUAGGGUAAAACUGGUAAUUGGGGCU
rnacentral:rRNA from 1 species